rnacentral:tRNA from 1 species
GCGACUAUGGUGGAAUUGGUAUACACAAGGGAUUUAAAAUCCCUCGCCUUCGGGAUUGAGAGUUCAAGUCUCUCUAGUCGCACCA